GCAUUUAAGCUAACACAUCAAAGCUGACGGAUGUUUUACUUCAGAGCUUCUAAGCACAUCAAACAGACUGUCAAGCAUUCAUUGUGUUAAAAAUGAAGUGAGUGUGGCUAAACAAAAAAAUAAUAAAUCCAUAGUUCUGGCAGGUAAACGCCUACACCCUGACACUUCAAAGAUUUUGUCCGUUUGUGAUUUCAAAUCGACGGCGCUCUCCCGUGCGAUCAUUACGUCCUUGCUUAUUAUUUUUAAAGGGGUAAUAUUAUUAAAUUGCCACGUUCUUAAGGUGCUGAGAGACGCUCAGGUGCACACAGUGGCGCCCAUGGAAUCAAAGCGCUUCACGCAGCCGCGAAAGAAACCGGAGAGGUUUGGCAUCUCGCCCGAGCUACCCGAAAACUGCCUCAGGAAUCAAAUCCGACACGUCUCGCGGAGGAAUGAAUCUAAAAAGACGGAAACUGUUGCCCGUCGGUGCUCUCCAGAAUCAACUCGAGUGUGCCUGAGCCAAGAUGAUGCAAGUCAGGCGAACACCUACAGCGGGAUCAGCGGAGGAACGUGAAGCGUGGGUGGCGGCGCUACCCUCGCAGCAACCGAGCAAUGUUUUUUGUUUUUGCGUGGGUGAAUUCCCUACUCCGAAUCCUUUCCGGUUUCUGCAGGAACACAAUGAACGGAUGGCUAAUCCAAAUAGAAAGAAAAAUCAGAAGACUCCAUUUGGGCUCCUGACUGGGCUCUUUGACCCUCACCUGUCUCCUUGAGGCUCAAGUAGCCUAUCAGGUGGCUUCCGCGAGGUGGAUCCUUGCUUAGGACACCAGUCAGCCAACAAACGAGAAGUCAAUCACUCCUCCAACGAUGCAGGAGAACCUCACACACACACACACCCACACAUGCUCGUCCUCUCACCUCUGCUCACCUGAACACUCGAUACUGUUGAGUCACGGCUUUGCUAGCGUUUCAUCUCUUGACUCGCUCUAUUUCACGCAUUCUUUUUUGCUUGUUAAAUGAGCAGCCUCGAGGGGCCCCCGCGAGAAAAAUCACAGUGAGACGUCUGACAGCGUGUGUGUGUGUGUGUUCUUUUAUGAGAUAUAAACACAAGGAAAGGGAUGUGAGCUGGAGUGACCUCGCGGGAAGGCACACGUGUAGCCUACACAGCGCAUACAUCAAACAUAUCAUAAAGUAGCUUAACUGUUUGAGGAGUUAGUCAACGUCUACGGCUUUUGUUUUAUUUUAAAUUGACUAUCACAUACAUUGUUCUUGGGGACUCAAUCACAUUCUGAACACACAAAAGGAAAGAUGCUAAUGUUGCUAAAUGUAACCACGUAACAAUUACGUAUCUGUUGAGCACCAAACAAAAACGUGUAGAAACAUGUGUUAGCGUGUUAAUGAUUAGGAGGAAAGGGGCCAUUUGCAAGUAAGCAAUGGGAAUGUGGGCAGUGGUUUGCUAAGUGGCGCUAUCUGGGUCACAGGGCCAAGGCUAGCGGCCGCUCGCUAUCAGCCCGGCUCCUCACUCACGUGGAAAAGAGACCAGAGCACUUUGAUCCCCGUUUGUUUUUCGCCAAAUAAAACGACAACAGAGCUUAACCCCAUAGAACUCCAAGUCUGUAAUUACUAUAUAUGGUGGACUAGUGGUUAGCUAGCAUGUCUGUCUGAUAGUUUUGAGGUUCUGUGUUUGAACUCGAAGAAUAAUGCUAUUUGGACAAAAUGUCAGGUUGUAGUUUAACUUUCCAAAACUGACAUGGUGGGCUUGUAUAAACCACCUGAACGCUGUAAAACAUACAAACAAUAUAAAAGGAGUCAGUCUAUCGCUAACCUCCGCUAAAUCAUCAUUAGCGACUUCAAAUAUCAUAUACUGGUAAUCUGUAACAAUCUCAACUUCAGUGUCACCUCGUAAGCUCCUCAACAUGGUUCAAACUCCACUUUUGAGAGAUUGCAGGCAUAUGUUUCCAGAUCCUUCCAAAUCUCUCCAAAGCCAAGAUGACCAACGUAAUGACACAAAAAGCCCAAUUACAAUAAAUGUUUUGACCCUGCCGCCUUGUGUGCCAAUGCUGCCUCCAAUAAGACCGGGUCACUAUGAAAGAAAA